rnacentral:rRNA from 1 species
CAAUAGCGUAUAUUAAAGUUGUUGCAGUUAAAAAGCUCGUAGUUGGAUUUGUGGCGUACGGUGUGUUCCGGGCACUUGUUGCCUGAGUAACCUGCUGUUGCCAUCCUUGGGUGGAACCUGUGUGGCAUUAGGUUGUCGUGCAGGGGAUGCCCAUCAUUUACUGUGAAAAAAUUAGAGUGUUCAAAGCAGGCUUAUGCCGUUGAAUAUAUUAGCAUGGAAUAAUGAGAUAGGACUUUUUUGCUAUUUUGUUGGUUUGCGCAAAGAGGUAAUGAUUAAUAGGGACAGUUGGGGGUAUUCGUAUUCCAUUGUCAGAGGUGAAAUUCUUGGAUUUUUGGAAGACGAACUACUGCGAAAGCAUUUACCAAGGAUGUUUUCAUUGA